UACGGAAGGGGCAAGCGUUGUUCGGAAUUAUUGGGCGUAAAGGGCGUGUAGGCGGCUUCGCAGGUCUGUGGUGAAAGCAUACAGCUCAACUGUAUUGAGCCACGGAAACGGCGGAGCUUGAGGCUGGGAGGGGCUGGUGGAAUUCCCUGUGUAGCGGUGAAAUGCGUAGAGAUGGGGGAGAACACUCGUGGCGAAGGCGGCCAGCUGGACCAGUUCUGACGCUGAGACGCGAAAGCGUGGGGAGCAAACAGG
rnacentral:rRNA from 1 species